GACGAACGCUGGCGGCGUGCUUAACACAUGCCAGUCGAACGGAAAGGCCCUGCUUUUUUGGGGUGCUCGAGGGGCGAAAGGGGGAGUGACACGUGAGUAACCUGCCCUUGACUGUGGGAUAACUUCAGGAAACUCGGGCUAAUACCGGAUAGGAGCUCCUGCUGCAUGGGGGGGGUUGGAAAGUUUCGGCGGGUGGGGGUGGACUCGCGGCUUGUCAGCUUGUUGGUGGGGUGGUGUGUUACCCAGGCUUUGACGGGUAGCCGGCCUGGGAGGGUGACCUGCCACAUUGGGACUGAGAUACGGCCCAGCCUCCUCCGGGAGGCAGCAGUGCGGAAUAUUGUACAAUGGGCGGAAGCCUGAUGUAGCCACGCCGCGUGCGGGAUGUCGGCCUUCGGGUUGUAAUCCGCUUUCGCCUGUGACGAAGCGUGAGUGACGGUACUGGGUAAAGAAGCACCGGCUAACUACGUG
rnacentral:rRNA from 1 species